CGCAUCUGUGCAUGCAGCAUAUCAAUAAGCGGAGGAAAAGAAACUAACAAGGAUUCCCCUAGUAACGGCGAGUGAAGCGGGAAGAGCUCAAAUUUGAAAUCUUAAAGGGUUUCCCUUUACGAAUUGUAGUUUAAAGAAGUGUUUUCUGUUGAGGUUUUGGUAAAAGUUCUUUGGAAUAGGACAUCAUAGAGGGUGAGAAUCCCGUAUUUGACCUUUACUUUCAACUUUGUGAUACACUUUCAAAGAGUCGGAUUGUUUGGGAAUGCAGUCCAAAAUGGGUGGUAAAUUUCAUCUAAAGCUAAAUAUUGGCGAGAGACCGAUAGCGAACAAGUACCGUGAGGGAAAGAUGAAAAGAACUUUGAAAAGAGAGUUAAACAGUACGUGAAAUUGUCAAAAGGGAAGCGUUUGACACCAGUGUUGUUUUUCUGAAAAUCAAUUAAAGAACUGUUUAUGCUAAGCUGUUUAGACUUUAUCAGCUAACUGUUUAGUUUUGAGCUUUUCUUUAAUGCACUUUUCAGUUAACAAGUCAACAUCAAUUUCUUUUGCUGUAAAAAAGCUUGAGGAAGGUGGCUUGAGAUUCGUCUUAAGUGUUUAUAGCCUCUUGCCUAUGCAGUCGGAGAGAUUGAGGUCUGCAGCGUAGAUCCUUCGGGGCUAAAUGCAUUUGUGCUAAGUUAUAGCAUUUUAUAGACAACUUGUUGACUAUGAUUUGUCCUGUAGCUUACUCGCUUAUGUUAUUUUACCUACGCUUAGGAUGUUGAGUCAUCACACAUCUCU
rnacentral:rRNA from 1 species